rnacentral:tRNA from 1 species
GCCAUCGUGGCGCAGAGGUUAGCAUGUCGGCCUAUUAUGCCGAACACCUGGGUUAAAACCCCGGCGUGAACA